CCUACGGGAGGCAGCAGUGGGGAAUUUUGGACAAUGGGGGAAACCCUGAUCCAGCCAUCCCGCGUGUAUGAUGAAGGCCUUCGGGUUGUAAAGUACUUUUGGCAGAGAAGAAAAGGUAUCCCCUAAUACGGGAUACUGCUGACGGUAUCUGCAGAAUAAGCACCGGCUAACUACGUGCCAGCAGCCGCGGUAAU
rnacentral:rRNA from 1 species